GCUCGCUUCGGCAGCGCAUAUACUAAAAUUGGAACAAUACAGAGAAGGUUAGCAUGGCCUCUGCACAAGGAUGGCACACAAAUUCCUAAAGCCUCCCCACCCCCGC